rnacentral:lncRNA from 1 species
GUUCUGAAUGAAUUUGGCAUGCGAGUUGAAGCCCAAGGUGAGAUUAUCCACACGGACUUCCCUUUUUUGGCUAUCAGGACUGGGCUCUUUGUAAGGCUUUGGUCUAUGCUCAGCCACAGCAUAUUUAUGGAGCCAUUAUUGAAGUGAUGCUCUUGCUUAGCUAUCCAUUGGGAAAUGGGGUUAGCCCAUCCCUGUUUUGAGUAUCUUCAACUUCGAUCUAUAUGAUCAAAUUCUGCUGCGGAUUGGAUUGCCGACCAUGCAAAGGGGGAGAAGACUGUAUCAUGGGAAAUGCUGUACCCUGUGGCCUUUAAUUUCUUUUGCCGUUUCGGUGCUUGUAAUGGAAGGGUAUGACUGGUUCUAACAGCUGCUUUGACCGUCCCAAAAAAGGAAAGAAACACUGGUUCAAUGGAGAUUUGUGUGGACGGAAAACUUUCUUUGAAACCGCCUAUAAUUUUUCAAAUAAAAGUUUAACCAAGACAUGGAUGGGGAAGCCGUCUAAGAAUGCUGUGAGCCAUAUCCUACUCCGACUAUAAAGCGUUGCUAUACUUUUGCAGGUUCGCUUCGGGGUACAUGCCAAUUGGCCCGAUUCGUGUUCUUAAGCAAAUGAUUGUCUCCUAUAGGAUUAUUAGUCCCGCAUGCAUUAGUUUCCUGGCUUGUAUCAGGGGAGGACUAAUGGAGGUUCCAAUUUCUGGGAUAUGUUAGUCACAAGCUAGUAUGUCUAGGUUGUACAUUCCUCUAGUAUUUAUACUCCUGUAUUUUCAUCUGUUGUUGAUUGUCCGUCCGUCAUUGUUCCGAGGGUCCAAUGGGUUUGCUGUAAGUAGAUCCAUCCGGAACUCACUUU